AUGGUUGACCUCGGAUCAGGUAGGAAUACCCGCUGAACUUAAGCAUAUCAAUAGCCGGGAGGA
rnacentral:rRNA from 1 species